UAUUUGCAUGCAGCCAUCUCUAGAAAGUCAAAUGGUAUCUCUUCAACUGGAAUGACAAGAGAUGAAAGAAAUGUGCAACCAUGAGGAUAUUGUAACCUACGAAUGAUGUGCUGAGACCGGAAACCCAAAAUGAUGGGUUUCACCAUAUUGCACAGGAUGGUUUCGAACUUCUGAACCCAAGCAAUCCACCCUCCUUGGCAUCCCAAAGUGUUGGGAUUACAGAGGUGAGCCACCUCACCCAGCAUGUAUACUUUGGAUAACAGUUCUUUACCAGAUGUGUGUUUUGCAAAUAUAUUCUCCCAGUUUGUGGCUUGUAUUUUUAUUCUAUUGACAUUGUCUUUAACAGAACAGACAUUUUUAAUUUUAAAGAAGUCCAUCUUAUAAAUUAUUUUCUUCAUGAAUUAUGCCUUGAUGUAGUAUCCAAAAAGUCACCACCUACCCAAGAUCAACUAGGUUUUCUCUUAUGUUAAUUUCUAAGAGUUUUAUAGUUUUGCAUUGUACACUUAGGUCUGUGAUUCAUUUGUAGUUAAUACUUAUGAAGGGCAUGAGAUCUGUGUCUGGAUCUAUCUUUUUGCAUGUGGAUAUCCAGUUCUUCCAGCACCAUUUGUUGAAAAUACUAUCUUUUCUUCAUUAUAUUGCCUUUACUCUGUUGCCAAAGAUGAGUUGACUAUAUUUAUGUGGGUCUGUUUGGGGCUCUUUAUUUUGUUUUGAUUGGUCUACUUGUCCAUUCUUUCACCAAUAUGAUGCAAUUUUGAUUGCUGUAGCUUUACAGUAAAUCUCAAAGUCAGGUAAUGACGGUCCUCUAACUUUGUUUUUUUCUUUAAUAUUGUGUUGGCUAUUCUGGGUCUUUUGCCUCUCCAUAUAAAGUUUAGAAUCAGUUUGUCUAUAAUCACAAUAUAACUUGCUGAGAUUCUGAUUGGGAUUCCAUUGAGUCUGUAGAUCAAUUUGGGAAGAAAUGACAUCUUGACAAUAUUGAGUCUUCUUAUCCAUGAACAUGUGUUAUCUCUUUAUUUAUUUAGUUCUUCUCUGACAUCUUUCAUCAGAGUUUUGUAGUUUCCCUCAUAUAGGUCUUAUACAUAUUUUCUAUUAGGUUUAUACCUACGUAUCUCAUUUUUUGUAUGCUGAAUGGUAUUGUGUUUUUAAUUUUAAAUUCCACUUGUUUAUUGCUAUUGUACAGAAAAGCAAUUGACUUUUGUAUAUUAACCUUGUAGCCUGCACCCUUACUAUAGUUCCUUGUUAGUUCCAGGAGAUUUUUAAAAAUUAUUUUUAUUUUAGAUUUUCUGCAUAGAUAAUCAUGUUAUUUGCAAAUAAAGAUAGUCUUGUUUCUUUCUGCCCAAUCUGUACA
rnacentral:lncRNA from 1 species